rnacentral:lncRNA from 1 species
GACUUCACCUCCUACUUCCCGAAGAAAAUAGAAGGCAUCAGAUGGGAACUCCCUCAGCUUCCUGCUAGCAAAUCCAUACAGUUCCAUCUGGACUCAUGUUCUUCUCUUUUCCUCCUAUUUUAGUCUAGGGAGUAUCCUUCUCAUUUAAGCCCAAUCCCUCCACCUGUGCUUUGGAAACUGUCUGCUCAUGCCUUCUCACUUCAUUAUCAACCUUACACUAUCAGUUUCUUCUCCCUCCCUGCCCCCAUUUCUAUUUAUUCGACAUACCCUUCUCAACUGGAUUAUUUCCAAUUACAUUUAAAUCUUCUCAUGCCUCUUCCAUCUUAAAAAACAACCUUCCUUGUCUCCCAAUUUCUAUGUUUCUAUCUUUCAACUCCUUUCUAUCUUUCCCAUUUCUUUCAAUCUAAAUUUUCUAAAGAUGUCUCAUUGUUUGGAGCUACAUCUGGUUGCUUUCUCAGAAGGUGCCUAUUGCCAUAAUAGACCUUGGAGAACAAGAGGCUAUUCUCCACUUCAGCCCUCUCGUUUAUUUACAUUAGAGAUUAAAUAACAUUCAAUUUGAAUCUUUG